rnacentral:lncRNA from 1 species
AUGCAGAAGGAGUUAGAAGAGCGGAGGGAGUUAGGAGAGCAGGGGGAGUCAGGAGAGCAGGGGGAGUCAGAAGAGCAGGGGGAGUCAGAGGAGCAGAAGAUGAUAGAGGAGCAGAAGAUGAUAGAGGAGCAGAAGAAGUUAGAGGAGCAGAGGAAGUUAGGAGAGAGGAAAAAGAAGGAGGGUUACCUGGAGGAAAUAAUACAAGAGUCAGAGUCAGAAGAAGAGGAGCCAAAAGUUAGAUUUUCUUUACGAGAAUUUCUCGAGUCCAAACUUAUAGAUGGGGCAGCCUCAUCAACACAGUUGCCACCAUCAACACCUGGGACUCUUGAUAGAGCAAAAGGUGAGCAAAGUAUUACGACCAUUAUUGAUAGAUCUUUAAAACUGAGUGAAAUUCGGGAUCUAAGAAAGGAUUACACACGUCAACCAAAAGAACAUAUGGUCACUUGGUUACUUCGAUGCUGGGACAAUGGUGCCAGCAGUGUGUGGCUUGAUGGCAAUGAAGCUCGCCAACUGGGUAGCAUUUCCAGGGACUCACGUGUGGACAGAGGUAUUGGCACAUGCCAAGAUCAGUCCUACACCCUCUGGAAGCGGAUGUUGAUAGCGGUAAGAGAUAGAUUCCCCUUUAAACGGGACUUGGAGCCUGAGAGAAAGAAAUGGACUGAUAUUGAGAAAGGUAUCCAAUUUUUGAGAGAAAAUGCUCUGGUGGAAAUGCUAUACAGCUCCCACUUCAACCGCAAUGACCCGAACCAAUUACAUGAUCCUGAGAUAGUCCGUGUACCACGACAAAUGUGGCGUGACUUUACAAGGGCUGCUCUUGCAUUAGUAUAUGGCAAAGGGGAAAGGAAACCCCUUGUGAAUGAACUAAUUGGCAGACUUCAGGAACUUGAAUUAUUUAUAAGCGCUACAGAAGUUAAUCUGUAUACUUCAGCCAUUGUCAAAAUAGUGGAAAGGUUAAACAAAAUGGAGGGAACACAAAAUGAUAUUAUUGACAUGUUGACUAACAUGCCUGAUGUAGAUGGAUCCAUGGUGGUACCAGAUGAUGGGGACCAGGAUUCCCACGAUCGCCUAUUGAGAAAGCUAAAAAGUGUGAGUUCCUCCUGA